rnacentral:rRNA from 1 species
CCGAUGGCGACCGGCGCACGGGUGAGUAACACGUAUCCAACCUGCCUCAUACUCGGGGAUAGCCUUUUGAAAGAAAGAUUAAUAUCCGAUAGCAUAUAUUUCCCGCAUGGGUUUUAUAUUAAAGAAAUUCGGUAUGAGAUGGGGAUGCGUUCCAUUAGUUUGUUGGGGGGUAACGGCCCACCAAGACUACGAUGGAUAGGGGCUCUGAGAGGAAGGUCCCCCACAUUGGAACUGAGACACGGUCCAA